rnacentral:tRNA from 1 species
AUCCCUAUGCUGCAAUUGGUUAGACAGGCUAGUCUUAGAAACUAGUGUUUGUGGGUUCAACUCCCACUAGGGAUA